AACGCACCUUGCGCUCCUUGGUAUUCCGAGGAGCAUGCCUGUUUGAGUGUCAUUAAAUUCUCAACCUUAUCAGCUUUUGUUGAUAAUGGCUUGGAUGUGGGGGUUUAUUGCUGGCUUCUAACGAGGUUGGCUCCCCUUAAAUACAUUAGCUGGUUGCCUUGUGCAGACAUGUCUAUUGGUGUGAUAAUUAUCUACGCUGUGGACUUUCUGCCAAUAUUUAGCACCGCUUCUAACUGUCUGUUAACUUGGACAACAUAUGACAAUUUGACCUCAAAUCAGGUAGGACUACCCGCUGAACUUAA
rnacentral:misc_RNA from 1 species